CUUGUGAGCUCUCUCCACAGCUGCAGAGGCCCACAUUGGACCUGGAUGAGAACCAUGGACUUGUCAACAGAGAGCUCUGGACAGAGUGGGAGGAGGGGCUAAGCUCCACAGCCACGGCUCUGAGGUGGCAGCCACAGCCUCGCCACGCUGUGCCCUUUCUGCUCCUCCCCUGCUGACCCGAAGAGCCUUAUGCAGUUGUGGGGGAUGGUGGUGCAGGGGCAGAAGUGGUGCACAAUGGCCCCCAUUCCAUGUGCAGGUUCAGUGCUCGGAGAGCUGGAGCAGGCAGGCUGAGUCAGCAAGGGCAGGAGGCUGGAGCAGAACUGUGGCAGGGACCGGCACACCCCAGUCCUUCCCCAGCCCAUUCCCUGAGCAGUGGGAGGAAGAGAUGCCUCUAGAUAUAGGGUGAAUAGAACAUCUCUCUCCUGCCAGCAUGGCUGGGCCAUGGCCUACUGGCCUCCCCAGCACAGCCUCUGGGAAACUGGCUGCUUUCUAGAAGCAGCACCAGGAAGGGUGGAACUCCAUGUUAUCUAUACCCCACCUGGCCCAGCCUACAGGGAGUCUCUGGGGACACAGCCCUGUGUUCUCGCUCAGUGCCACAGAACAAUUUAAUAAGCAAUCUCUUACAAUCGCAGAAGAAAUCCCACAUCUAAUGGUUCUGAGGGUGGCCCUGUUGCUGGAGGGUCGAAACACUAAUUAUGCCCGAGUCUGUGAACCUGGCACCAAAUAUGGUGACAUUCAGAAACCCGGAGCCAUGGGACACAGAUAGGAAAUGCCAUCUCCAUAUAUUUGACAGUGUGCAGGUGCUGUGCUGGCCAGGUCCCAGGAGUGACCUGCCUUCCAGGUGAUCUCAGACCAGUCAGGGAGACCAUGACCCUGACAGCACGGUCCACUGAGCACUGGCAGGACCGAGCCCCAGGUGUCAUAAUGAGAGGCUCCCCUGAGGGCUUGGGGGCCACACUGAGGCCCAACAUCUGAAUACCCUUCCUCUACUGGGGGACUCACAGGGACGGAGGAGAGCCCAGGUCCUCCCACCAUGAGAGAUGAUGUGGGCUGGUGCCUCCUCCCCACUCCUUUGCCACAGUGAUAAGACAUGGGCUUGACCCGCUGGCCCCUUCUCUCUGGACUUUGAAAUUGGAAGGAGUAGUGCCAGGCUUCAGGGAGAGGUGCUGAGAAUUGGUGGGGCUACAAGAACUCAAGAAUCCAGCAGCGUCCCUCCUGGGGUGACAGGUCCAGGUGCGCUGCCCCCAUGGUGAGAACCAACUGUGCCCCUCCCUGGUUCCUGCCUGGCUCUCCAGCCUUCCUGAUAACCCAGUAAGCUGCCCCAUAUCCUUUCAUUACAAUCCUUUUCUAUGUGAGUUAGCCAAAGCUGGUUUCUGUGGAUGGCAUCGGAAGGUGAAGUGCAAUGGGACAACCUGUGCCCAGGCUGGGGGCCUGAGAAACUCAGCUCAGGACAGCUCAGAGGGGUUGUUCAGAAGUGAGGGACCACAGUGCAUGGCACAUACCUGCUCUAUCGCCCCUCCUUGCUCAGGACCUGAGCAGAGGCUGGGGGUGGCUGAGGGUCUUGGUUCUGGGUGGAGGGUGGGCUUGGGCUCUCAGGUUAGGCUGAGUAGCAGGUAGGCCCAGGGUGUGAGGAGGGUGUGCAGGCAGGCCCAGGGCCUGGUAAGUGGCAGAGGGUUGGGACUCCUCCUGGCCUGGCUGGAGCAGGCAGGCUUGUAGGCACUGGAGGCUCUGACCCUGCCAAGAGGGUCCCUGCCUGUGUCUGAACCCCUCAGGGAAGAGGAGACCCAGCACAGUGGGCGUUUGUUCCUGUGUGACACUGUCCUUCCCUGGAGCAGGAUGAGCUGAGCCCAGCGAGCUGAGGUCACGUCUGCCCCAUGACAAUCCUCCCACUGUCCCUCAGUUGGGACAUACAGCGCCAUCCCAGCUGCCCCUUAGCUGAUCUCCUAGAUGCCUGUGAAACCCGAGUGGAAAGAGGGUGGGUGGGGUCCCCUGAUGCCAAGGAUGGGGGUGCAGAGAAAG
rnacentral:lncRNA from 1 species